rnacentral:rRNA from 1 species
UGCCAGCCGCCGCGGUAAUACGAAGGGUGCUAGCGUUAUUCGGAAUUAUUGGGCGUAAAGGGCGUGUAGGCGGCUGUCUAAGUCGGAUGUGAAAGACCUCGGCUCAACCGAGGAACUGCAUUCGAUACUGGACAGCUAGAGUGCGAGAGGGGCAAGUGGAACUCCAGGUGUAGCGGUGAAAUGCGUAGAUAUCUGGAGGAACGCCGGUGGCGAAAGCGACUUGCUGGCUCGCAACUGACGCUGAGGCGCGAAAGCUAGGGUAGCGAACGGGAUUCGAUA